AGAGUUUGAUCCUGGCUCAGAUUGAACGCUGGCGGCGUGCCUAACACAUGCAAGUCGAGCGGUAACGCGGGGAAACCUGGCGACGAGCGGCGAACGGGUGAGUAAUGUUUCGGAAUCUACCCACGGGUGGGGAAUAACCAACCGAAAGGUUGGCUAAUACCGCAUAAGUCCUAACGGGGAAAGCGGGGGAUCGCAAGACC
rnacentral:rRNA from 1 species